rnacentral:rRNA from 1 species
UACGGGGGGAGCAAGCGUUGUUCGGAUUUACUGGGCGUAAAGGGCGCGUAGGCGGCCACCGCAAGUCGACUGUGAAAUCUCCGGGCUUAACCCGGAAAGGUCAGCCGAUACUGCGGGGCUAGAGUGCAGAAGGGGCAACUGGAAUUCUCGGUGUAGCGGUGAAAUGCGCAGAUAUCAGGAGGAACACCGGUGGCGAAGGCGGGUCUCUGGGCAACAACUGACGCUGAGGAGCGAAAGCGUGGGGAGCGAACAGG